GAUGAACGCUGGCGGCGUGCCUAAUACAUGCAAGUCGAGCGAACGGACGAGAAGCUUGCUUCUCUGAUGUUAGCGGCGGACGGGUGAGUAACACGUGGAUAACCUACCUAUAAGACUGGGAUAACUUCGGGAAACCGGAGCUAAUACCGGAUAAUAUUUUGAACCGCAUGGUUCAAAAGUGAAAGACGGUCUUGCUGUCACUUAUAGAUGGAUCCGCGCUGCAUUAGCUAGUUGGUAAGGUAACGGCUUACCAAGGCAACGAUGCAUAGCCGACCUGAGAGGGUGAUCGGCCACACUGGAACUGAGACACGGUCCAGACUCCUACGGGAGGCAGCAGUAGGGAAUCUUCCGCAAUGGGCGAAAGCCUGACGGAGCAACGCCGCGUGAGUGAUGAAGGUCUUCGGAUCGUAAAACUCUGUUAUUAGGGAAGAACAUAUGUGUAAGUAACUGUGCACAUCUUGACGGUACCUAAUCAGAAAGCCACGGCUAACUACGUGCCAGCAGCCGCGGUAAUACGUAGGUGGCAAGCGUUAUCCGGAAUUAUUGGGCGUAAAGCGCGCGUAGGCGGUUUUUUAAGUCUGAUGUGAAAGCCCACGGCUCAACCGUGGAGGGUCAUUGGAAACUGGAAAACUUGAGUGCAGAAGAGGAAAGUGGAAUUCCAUGUGUAGCGGUGAAAUGCGCAGAGAUAUGGAGGAACACCAGUGGCGAAGGCGACUUUCUGGUCUGUAACUGACGCUGAUGUGCGAAAGCGUGGGGAUCAAACAGGAUUAGAUACCCUGGUAGUCCACGCCGUAAACGAUGAGUGCUAAGUGUUAGGGGGUUUCCGCCCCUUAGUGCUGCAGCUAACGCAUUAAGCACUCCGCCUGGGGAGUACGACCGCAAGGUUGAAACUCAAAGGAAUUGACGGGGACCCGCACAAGCGGUGGAGCAUGUGGUUUAAUUCGAAGCAACGCGAAGAACCUUACCAAAUCUUGACAUCCUUUGACAACUCUAGAGAUAGAGCUUUCCCCUUCGGGGGACAAAGUGACAGGUGGUGCAUGGUUGUCGUCAGCUCGUGUCGUGAGAUGUUGGGUUAAGUCCCGCAACGAGCGCAACCCUUAAGCUUAGUUGCCAUCAUUAAGUUGGGCACUCUAAGUUGACCGCCGGUGACAAACCGGAGGAAGGUGGGGAUGACGUCAAAUCAUCAUGCCCCUUAUGAUUUGGGCUACACACGUGCUACAAUGGACAAUACAAAGGGCAGCGAAACCGCGAGGUCAAGCAAAUCCCAUAAAGUUGUUCUCAGUUCGGAUUGUAGUCUGCAACUCGACUACAUGAAGCUGGAAUCGCUAGUAAUCGUAGAUCAGCAUGCUACGGUGAAUACGUUCCCGGGUCU
rnacentral:rRNA from 1 species